CUGUUCUUCCCUUUUUCUGUUUAUACAUUUGCCUGACUAGACUGUGUUGGCAUUUAGCAGAAAGACAUAAAAAUGGUCUCAUGUCAGUAGGAAGCCUAGCAUCAAACCCACCAUAAAUAUUCAGGAGUUCCUGUCAAAGGAAAAGAAGAAAUGUGGA